rnacentral:misc_RNA from 1 species
GAGCUGUUUUGGACCCGUGUCUGCCGGUAGGSCCCCCGUCUUCGUGCGGCCGACUACCGGCGCCGUGUCCCGUCGGUCCUGUGGCUUAUGUCACUGUUGGCUUUCAAGUGCUUGCGUGCUGGUACCCGAACUACGGGAAGUGGUGCUUUGUACAGGUUGCCUCGCGGUGGACGCCUUCGGGUGUGCCGCUGCGGCCAUAUGGCGCUUGCGGCGUUGCCUCGUGAUGCUGGCACGUCUACGUGUCCGGUAAUAUCAAGGCAGCCUCGCUCCCGCUGUUGGUCUCGGAUGUUGCUCACGAUAAAGUCUCGUGGCCCUUUUSGUUGCCACGACCCGACCCUAAGAAGCUCUCCGAAUUGAGAACAACCGGAACAGGUGUUGCCUCUACCUCUCCACAGUUAGUGGUAGGAUACGCAACAUUUUGYGCCGAUCCUCAAACAAGUAGGACGAGCUUAGCCCGCUCAAUUGCGACAACCGGCCCGGCUGUUGCCUCUGCCUUGACACGCAAGUGGACGGGCGGACAACUACCGAUGCUGGACGUCAAAGAGGACGUGCUACCUGGUUGAUCCUGCCA